AGUGAGGGUUCUGUUGUUUUGAAGCCCUACAUCCAGGCAUCCUUGACCCCUCCGCUCUCCUUUCUCUUGUCUCCUCCCUGCAGAGCAGGACUCCUGUCGGGUUUUUGGGAAGCCAGGAACAACCAUGUUGGCGGUGUUGGUGUCGAUUGUCUCCCUAGGAAUAGUGGCGCAGCAGUGCCAGGCCAUAGUGAUUUACACCGGCUGGGAGCGCCAUGCUUUGGUGGGCUCCGACAUCCGGCUCUCCUGCUCCUUCUUCUCCUGGCGCUGGACCUCGGAGGACGUCACCUUCUCCUGGACCUACCGGCCGGACGGCUCACGGGACAGCAUCUCUAUCUUCCACUACACCGGGGGUGAAGCGUACCUCGACAAUAAGGGCCCCUUCAAGGACAGGCUGGAGUUUGUGGGGAACCCGGGUCGCCGUGACGGCUCCAUCCUCAUCAAGAACCUGGACUUCAAUGAUAACGGCACCUUCACCUGUGACGCCAAGAACCCCCCGGACAUAGUGGGGCGGCCCUCCAGCGUCCGCCUGCUGGUUUUUGAGAAAGUGCCCAUCCAGGCCGGUGUGAUCACAGGAGCCAUCAUUGGAGUGGUGCUGGGCCUGCUGGUGCUCGUCGUGGUCAUCUACUACCUGAUGAGGUUCCUGGUGGCCCGCCGAGUCUUCAGCCUCAACGUCAGCAAACAUGGCAAGAAAAAGAAAGAGGGAUCACAGCAGAGACAGGGCCCCGCGCCUCCUGCUGACCCCUCCAAGGUGAAGGCGGCCGCCUCUGAAAAGAAGAAGCAGGAGUCCCGCAAGGAUAAGAAAUAGGAAACGGGGAGGGGCUGGGGCGGCCUCGCCCUCCGGCUGUUCCAGCCCUCACGCCAGAUAAAGGUCUGACUUCUCCAUGACUGCCUCCACUCCUCUAGUCUGAUCCCUCCUUUUCUGCCCUGCCUGAUGCAGCCCCCGUUAAUUCUCAUUAUCUCUACUCUUUCAAGACAGCACUGGCUGUAAGAAUAGUCCCCCUAAAUCACUGGGAACGGUGUCAAAUAAUUUUUACAAUGCUUCGUUGGAGACCCCCAUGCACUUAUUGGAUGAAGUGUAAAAGUGUUUAAGGUCUAACUGUCCACAUAACUUCCUCAAGGAGAGCCUGACAGACAUCCUCAUAUGUUUCCAUUGAAUCUUCCCCUAAAUGUUUACAACUCAAUCAGGCGCCGAGCGGAGCUUGUGCACUCGCCGGACUUCAGAUGGAAAAAGGCAGUGAUGGAAACAGAAAUGUGAUUCCCGCUCUCGGCCGGCGUGGACGCCCCGGAGCUCAGAUGUGAUUCAAUCCUCUCGUAUCUGAAGUAAUGGAGGUUUGUCGCCGUGUUCCUGAGCGGGCUAACUGGGGCUAUUCCUGGCCCGGUGAGAGCGUCCAGGCUUCCUGGAAGGAACAGCUGCACAUUUCUCAGCAGAUAGCAGAGGAGGGAGGGAGGGAGGGAGCAGGAGGAGAUGCUUUCUCUGCACCAGACUGUCCGCUCUCGACUCAGUGGCCACCGACUGACGACCUGGAAUGACGUCACGGCCGUGACGGGGCGGCAGAUGCUCUCAUCAGCAGGAAGGAGUGCAGCUUCUGAGCUAUUUUUGGUGCAUUUCAUCCACCAAACAGCACAGGGCUAAUUAUUUUACACAGUGCCCUCCUCUGCUGUCUCCUCUCCCAGUCACUCUUGAUCUCUGCCCCCAUCUUGGGAAUGAUCUUCUCCCGCAACCCCCCCCCUCCUCGUUUUGUUCUCUCCUUCCUUGUCUUUCCUUUAUCUUCUUCUGUUCCAGCCAUCCACCCAGCCUGCCCGGCAUUAUUCCCCCACAGAAAAGGCCCGCAUACAAUCCACUUUCUAAACCCUCUUAUCUGACUGCCAAGCCUUCAGCUCAAUGCCUCUCUUCCUCCUCCUGUCCUUCCUCAUCUUCCCUGCCUUUUAAACUCAGUGGUAGACAUCUCCCUCCCCUCCUUCCAUCUUCAGUGAUCUACAAACAUACUCUCGCUUGCCCAUCAACCCCCCCCCCCCCCCCAAAGGCACGUCCAUCCAGGAGCCCGCCUCCGCUCCUUCUCCAAGCCUUCACCAACUGGUUUCUGCUGGGUCCGACGCCUUGGUGCUCUCCUCUGCCUGCUACUGGCAGAUGACAGCCUGCACCCAAGACGGGAACUCCUAAUCUAGCUAGCUCUCUUCUGGAUGCAAACACAUUGUUUCAGUGUAUGUGUGUUAAAAAAGUUUAAGUAAGUGUAAAAAUGUCUGUAAAAAUCCCCCUAGGUAAAGCAAUUAACGUUGAGACAUUUUUUUACACGUGCACAAGUUAACGCCGGGGAGGAAAAUGUAAUUAUCUUCAGCAGAACAUCUCAUUACAUUUCUGACCUUGUGUGUUAUGAACUGCACUGCGCGGCUGUCUCUUGCUUUCUCCUGUGAUGAGGAAAAAUCGAGAGAUGGUUCAGUUCGACGUGGAUUCAGUUAGACGUGGCUACAGGGGAAAACCAAACGCAGAAAGGUGCAGGUAGCUGGGGGGUAAGGCCUCAGAGGAAUCUGUCAUGCUCCGCCCUGCCAAGAAUCCCCGUGUGUCACCACAGAUCGUCUGCUCUGCCCCCACAGCUUUCCUUUACAGGUCCUUUUACCCCAGGGACAGAUGGGUUUGAAUCUGCAGGGUGGACAGGAUAGACUUGAAUGUUCCUUUUAAAUUCAUAACCUGAAGGGAGGUGCUAUAAUCCACAUCUUUGUCGUGGUUGUUUAACUGUAAAUCCAGAUGGAUCUGUUUGAAUGUUUCCUUCUGUUCUGCCGAGCGCAGACACCUGACACGACACAAAAGACAUUAAAAACUUCUGUUUGCUACCAUAAACUGUAUUAGUCAUUAACAUCUCUUUUUUUGAAAUUUGAAAUGAGUGGCGCUUACAUUCCUUUUUUUUAUUACAUUUAUUUCAAGGCUUCUUAUAAUUCCAGAUCACUAACUUCUUGUUGGCUCUGUAUAAUAAAUGUUGUAAAAAAAGGUGUACAAAAAUAAAGCUGCAAACACAGCCGGCAAAACCAAACUCCA